GACGAACCGUCCUAACGUUAUUCGGAAUCACUGGGCUUAAAGGGCGCGUAGGCGGAUGAGCAAGUCCGGGGUGAAAUCUUUCGGCUUAACCGGAAAAGUGCCUUGGAUACUGCUUGUCUUGAGGGAGGUAGGGGCAUGUGGAACUUCUGGUGGAGCGGUGAAAUGCGUUGAUAUCAGAAGGAACGCCGGUGGCGAAAGCGACGUGCUGGCCCUCUUCUGACGCUGAGGCGCGAAAGCUAGGGGAGCAAACGGG
rnacentral:rRNA from 1 species